GAGGGCUGGAAUGAAGGGUUGGACGAGGUAUUAGCUUUCUUUAAUUUAGUUGGAAGAAUUUAAUUUUUGAGUUAAAAAGCUUAAAUUUAUUUGUGGGACGAGAAGACCCUAUAGAUCUUUAUAGUUUAAUAUUUUAGUAAUUUGGAGGUUUAUGUACUUUAAAUAGAAGAACUAUUUUGUUGGGGUGACUGUAGAAUUUGAAUAACUUCUAUUUUUUAUUUUCAUUAAUUAGUGUUUUAAUGAUCCAUGUUUUAUGAUUAAAAGAUUAAGUUACCUUAGGGAUAACAGCGUAAUUCCCUCGGAGAGUUCAUAUUGAUGGGGGAGUUUGCGACCUCGAUGUUGGAUUAAAAUAAGUUAUGGAUGCAGGAGUCUAUUUACUAGGUCUGUUCGACCUUUAAAUUUUUACAUGAUCUGAGUUCAAACCGGAGA
rnacentral:rRNA from 1 species